rnacentral:lncRNA from 1 species
AUAUACAAAUAGGAGCAGUUAAGACAUUUAGACAAUUAGCAAGUAAUAUGCAGUCAAAUAGGCAAUCUCAAACAAUUCACAUAGUAUGCAUAUGAUGAAUGCCUGUCCCUAGUGGCUGAUGAUAUCAUCUGUCGGUUAUAGAGCCAACCCGACAAGUCCUGGUAGCUAACCAUUGGACUGUCCCUCUGUCGCGCAUCCCCAACUCGAGUUAUACUCGUUAUAAACUUGAUCAUAAACAUGAUCCAUAUCCAUCACCCUCACUGGUGAAUAUUUCGGGGGCGAGCUCAUCCGGGUCUUUCACAGUGCCCGGCCACACUUACGACAUAGGGUCAACAGAGUCUCGAGCCUCCACCUGGAGCACGUGGUGGCUAGCCACUGCUUCCUCCCAGGGAUCUCGUGCCUCUGAUAGUGGAAGUGCAAAUCUCAAUUAUCAAUAAUUCAGCAUAAGCAUGCAUGAAUUCUCAUCCAUGGAUCAACAUCCAUAUCAGCCAUCCGGCUCACGGUUCAGUCCAGAACCAGCCAAUAUUCAUAUUAUACACAGCCUUUCCGGCUCACGGUUAAAUCCAUAACCAGCCGUUUCAUUAACAAUUAUAGCCUUUCGGCCCAUGGCUUAACAAGCACUUCCACCACCAUCCUCCGCAUCUCACAUAAUCAUCUUGAUCCUCAUUGAUCAUUCAUUUUUCCCUUGCUUCACUCGCAAGUUACCUCAUUCACUAGCCCCUUUUUAAUAGCUAGGCAUGUCAUAAUGAUUUAAGACAUAAAUGGUGAGAUCGGAGGCUUAGAAGUAUGAGAUUUGGCUUUUAAAACUCAAAAAUCAACUUUGGGAUGAAAACAGGGCCACGCGUACGCGCACUCCACGCGCACGCGUGGAUGGCCUCAAAAACUCAUCGACGCGCAAGCGUCAUGCACGCUAACGCGUGGAUUAAA